CCGAGCACGCAGUGAUGCAAUGACGAAAACGGCUAUGCUCACCUCCGAUCGGAAGUGGAGGGCAGAGCGUAGGAGUCGAUUCCUUGUUAAGUACGGGAAUCAUUAAGACAAAGACGUGCGGUAUGAAAGUCGCGAGACGAGUAAGAAACAGCAGACGCCGAUUUCCAAGAAAAGUUGCUAACGUUAAACGUGUUCGGCCCGUACCGAGAACGGACACACGUGGUCAAGGAGAAUAUCCUGAGGUGAGCGAGAUAACUGUUGUUAAGGAACUCUGCAAAAUAACUUCGUAAGUUAGCAAGAAGAAGUGCUCCAGCGAUGGAGCCGCAGCGAAUCGGCCCAAGUAACUGUUUACCAAAAACACAGCUCUAUGCUAAGUCGCAAGACGAUGUAUAUGGGGUGACGCCUGCCCGGUGCCGGAAGGUUAAAAGGAGAGGUUAGGAGCAAUCCGAAGCUUUGAAUUGAAGCCCCGGUGAACGGCGGCCGUAACUAUAACGGUCCUAAGGUAGCGAAAUUCCUUGUCAGGUAAGUUCUGACGUGCACGAAUGGUGUAAUAAUUUGGGCGCUGUCUCGACAGCAGACUCGGUGAAAUCUUAAUACCGGUGAAGAUGCCGGUUACCCGCGACUAGACGGAAAGACCCCAUGGAGCUUUACUAUAACUUAAUAUUGAGUAAAUGCGAAUCUUGUACAGUAUAGGUGGGAGACUUUGAAGUCGGGGCGUCAGCUUCGAUGGAGUCGCCGUUGGGAUACCACUCUGGAUUUGCAUUUAUUCUAACUCCUACCCUGGAUGGGCGGGAGGACAGUGUUAGGCGGGUAGUUUGGCUGGGGCGGCCGCCUCCCAAAUAGUAACGGAGGCGCCCUAAGGUACCCUCAGUAUGGUCGGAAAUCAUACGUAGAGCGCAAAUGCAUAAGGGUGCUUGACUGCAAGACCGACAAGUCGAGCAGGUACGAAAGUAGGGAUUAGUGACCAGGCGGUUUCAUUGUGGAAUGGCCGUCGCUUAACGGAUAAAAGCUACCCUGGGGAU
rnacentral:rRNA from 1 species